rnacentral:rRNA from 1 species
CCUACGGGAGGCUGCAGUGAGGAAUAUUGGUCAAUGGGCGUAAGCCUGAACCAGCCAAGUCGCGUGAGGGAUGAAGGUUCUAUGGAUCGUAAACCUCUUUUAUAAGGGAAUAAAGUGUGGGACGUGUCCUGUUUUGUAUGUACCUUAUGAAUAAGGAUCGGCUAACUCCGUGCCAGCAGCCGCGGUAAUACGGAGGAUCCGAGCGUUAUCCGGAUUUAUUGGGUUUAAAGGGUGCGUAGGCGGGCUUUUAAGUCAGCGGUGAAAGUCUGUGGCUCAACCACAGAAGGGCCGUUGAAACUGGGAGGCUUGAGUGUGCGCGAGGUAGGCGGAAUGCGUGGUGUAGCGGUGAAAUGCUUAGAUAUCACGCAGAACCCCGAUUGCGAAGGCAGCGUGCC